UUCACCAGCACUAGUAAGGUUCUGAGUAGCUGGCAAGCUCUGAUUGGGAAGUGACAGCCAUGGGCAAAGCUAGUCUGAGAGUUGCAGCAGGUCAUUUCAGGAGUCUUAGAUGAAACUGGUUUCAGGCUACUGCAGGCAGUUUCAGCUGCUAGGCCUACAGAUAAUUACAUUUUUGGAGCAAUGUACUGUGCUCUGGGUGCUAUCCCCACUGGAUUCUUGACUGUGUUUUAGUUGGGUGUGACAAGAAUGGCCCAAUCUGUAUGAUCAGUUUUCACCCCCGGCCCCUCCACCAUCGAGCUAAAACUACAGGAAAGACCCCAAGAAAAACAGCGGGAGAAGUGUCCAGCUGAGCCCCCACCCUACCCAACCCAGAGAGGUGACAAAAUAGGUGUUAAGUCACUGAGAACUUGGGAUGUCUGCAAACCUCUGUCCAUGGCCGAACCCGCCCCACUGCCUGUUACUGUAAAUAAAGGUCUAUUAGCAUGCCGCCAUGCCCCUCCUCCGAUGUACAGUGCCCAGCUCAGCACCUGGUGCAAAGUAAGCACAACCUG
rnacentral:lncRNA from 1 species